ACGCACGUAGCUCAAUGGCAGAGUAAAACUGGUCGAAUUCGACCAGUUUAGAUGCUGGUUCGACUCCAGCCGUGCGCA
rnacentral:tRNA from 1 species